rnacentral:rRNA from 1 species
GACGAACGCUGGCGGCGUGCCUAAUACAUGCAAGUCGAACGCAGUGGGGACGGGUGAGUAACACGUGGGUAACCUCCCAUCAGAGGGGAUAACACUUGGAAAAAGGUGCUAAACCGCGAUUGAUGGAUGGACCCGCGGUGCAUUAGCUAGUUGGUGAGGUAACGGCUCACCAAGGCCACGAUGCAUAGCCGACCUGUGAGGGUGAUCGGCCACACUGGGACUGAGACACGGCCCAGACUCCUACGGGAGGCAGCAGUAGGGAAUCUUCGGCAAUGGGCGAAAGCCUGACCGAGCAACGCCGCGUGAGUGAAGAAGGUUUUCGGAUCGUAAAACUCUGUUAUUAGGGAAGCGGUACCUAACCAGAAAGCCACGGCUAACUACGUGCCAGCAGCCGCGGUAAUUC